rnacentral:rRNA from 1 species
GCCAGCGGUGAUAGCACCUUGAAUACACCAGUCACCUAUCGUCUCACUGAAGUCAACCAAAAUUACGCAUGAUUGGUGCUCCGAUGGGUGAUCAUCUAGCCAAUCGCGUGCUGCUGUCU